AGAGUUUGAUCCUGGCUCAGGAUGAACGCUGGCGGCGUGCUUAACACAUGCAAGUCGAACGAUCCUUCGGGAUAGUGGCGGACGGGUGAGUAACGCGUGGGAAUCUGCCCUCAGGAGGGGGAUAACGGCUGGAAACGGCCGCUAAUACCCCAUAUGCCGAGAGGUGAAAUGAAUUUCGCCUGAGGAUGAGCCCGCGUCUGAUUAGCUAGUUGGUGGGGUAAAGGCCUACCAAGGCAACGAUCAGUAGCUGGUCUGAGAGGAUGAUCAGCCACACUGGGACUGAGACACGGCCCAGACUCCUACGGGAGGCAGCAGUGGGGAAUUUUCCGCAAUGGGCGAAAGCCUGACGGAGCAACGCCGCGUGAGGGAUGAAGGCCUCUGGGCUGUAAACCUCUUUUCUCAAGGAAGAAGACCUGACGGUACUUGAGGAAUAAGCCACGGCUAAUUCCGUGCCAGCAGCCGCGGUAAUACGGGAGUGGCAAGCGUUAUCCGGAAUUAUUGGGCGUAAAGCGUCCGCAGGCGGCCUUGUAAGUCUGUUGUUAAAGCGUGGAGCUCAACUCCAUUUAAGCAAUGGAAACUACAAGGCUGGAGUGUGGUAGGGGCAGAGGGAAUUCCCGGUGUAGCGGUGAAAUGCGUAGAUAUCGGGAAGAACACCAGUGGCGAAGGCGCUCUGCUGGGCCAUAACUGACGCUUAUGGACGAAAGCCAGGGGAGCGAAAGGGAUUAGAUACCCCUGUAGUCCUGGCCGUAAACGAUGAACACUAGGUGUCGGGGGAAUCGACCCCCUCGGUGUCGUAGCCAACGCGUUAAGUGUUCCGCCUGGGGAGUACGCACGCAAGUGUGAAACUCAAAGGAAUUGACGGGGGCCCGCACAAGCGGUGGAGUAUGUGGUUUAAUUCGAUGCAACGCGAAGAACCUUACCAGGGUUUGACAUCCUGCGAACCCCUGAGAAAUCGGGGGGUGCCUUCGGGAGCGCAGAGACAGGUGGUGCAUGGCUGUCGUCAGCUCGUGUCGUGAGAUGUUGGGUUAAGUCCCGCAACGAGCGCAACCCACGUCUUUAGUUGCCAGCAUUCAGUUGGGCACUCUAGAGAGACCGCCGGUGAUAAACCGGAGGAAGGUGUGGAUGACGUCAAGUCAUCAUGCCCCUUACAUCCUGGGCUACACACGUACUACAAUGCUACGGACAAAGGGCAGCAAGCUCGCGAGAGUUAGCAAAUCCCAUAAACCGUGGCUCAGUUCAGAUCGUAGGCUGCAACUCGCCUACGUGAAGGAGGAAUCGCUAGUAAUCGCAGGUCAGCAUACUGCGGUGAAUACGUUCCCGGGCCUUGUACACACCGCCCGUCACACCAUGGAAGUUGGCCAUGCCCGAAGUCGUUACUCCAACCCUUGUGGAGGAGGACGCCGAAGGUGGGGCUGAUGACUGGGGUGAAGUCGUAACAAGGUA
rnacentral:rRNA from 1 species